rnacentral:rRNA from 1 species
GACGAACGCUGGCGGCGUGCUUAACACAUGCAAGUCGAACGGAAAGGCCCCAGCUUGCUGGGGUACUCGAGUGGCGAACGGGUGAGUAACACGUGGGUGAUCUGCCCUGCACUCUGGGAUAAGCCUGGGAAACUGGGUCUAAUACCGGAUAGGACCGUGCUUUAGUGUGUGCGGUGGAAAGUUUUUCGGUGCAGGAUGAGCCCGCGGCCUAUCAGCUUGUUGGUGGGGUAAUGGCCUACCAAGGCGGCGACGGGUAGCCGGCCUGAGAGGGUGUACGGCCACAUUGGGACUGAGACACGGCCCAGACUCCUACGGGAGGCAGCAGUGGGGAAUAUUGCACAAUGGGCGCAAGCCUGAUGCAGCGACGCCGCGUGGGGGAUGACGGCCUUCGGGUUGUAAACCCCUUUCGGCAGGGACGAGGCUUUUGUGACGGUACCUGCAUAAGAAGCACCGGCUAACUACGUG